rnacentral:rRNA from 1 species
UACGUAGGGUGCGAGCGUUAAUCGGAAUUACUGGGCGUAAAGCGUGCGCAGGCGGUUUGGUAAGCCAGAUGUGAAAUCCCCGGGCUUAACCUGGGAAUUGCAUUUGUGACUGCCCGGCUAGAGUGUGUCAGAGGGGGGUAGAAUUCCACGUGUAGCAGUGAAAUGCGUAGAUAUGUGGAGGAAUACCGAUGGCGAAGGCAGCCCCCUGGGAUAACACUGACGCUCAUGCACGAAAGCGUGGGGAGCAAACAGG